AUUGCAAACAUGUUGCUGCAACCUUCCCCAAACCUGUGGUAAUUAGCCAACCCUAUAAAAGACUGAACUUGCACUUUGGUUUGGGGUACAGACCAGUUAACAGUGGAUUCUACUUUUAAUGGAUCUGGGCAAAUCUAGCUUCUUCCUACCCAGUGACCUAGAUUAAGGAGUUUUCCCUCCUAUUUUACACUUUUUCUGAGUCUCUUUGGCUCCAUUUCUUUAUGAUCUUGCCAGGCAUUGCUAAAGAUUACAAUAUCAUCAAUGCUGGCCUGAGUGAAGUCCUAUAACCUGACUUAUAUUUGAUUAACAAGCCUCUGAAAUAUGGCUCCUGCAUUAAUUAAUCCAAAAGUGCCACUCUCCCAGGAAUCCCUUAAGCAAUCCAGGAGGCUUCUGACCUUUCUCCCAUAUAGGAUGCCAAAUGGGGCAAAACUGGUGGACUCUCGGAGAACCUCCCAAUAAGCAAACAAGAGAGAGGGCCCACACCUGUUCCGGCCCAUAAACAUAGCCUGUCUCCAUGGAUGUCCAUUGUUCUGAGUGCUGACUGAGUUAGCCCUGAUGCUUACCUCAAUUUAGGUGACAAACUUUACUUCACUAGUUUUGGAACGUAAUAUUUUGCAUAUCUCAAACUAUUUCUUGUACAAACAUCUUGCAAUAUUAUGAUGACCAGUGGACCUCUGGCUUGUGGUAGAAACAUCACAUGCCGCCCUUUGGUGAACUAUUAUGUAGACAUCAGACCCCAGCGAUCCCUGUAAAACUCUAUGCACCAACUGUGAACCAGGGACUUCUAUCUGCCAACUGGCAGAGGCACAAUAUUGUUCUACUGGAACUCGCAUAUUAGGACUAAAAAGAUGGAUUAAGCUACACACAGAAUUUGGGCUGACGUAUUCAAAA